AUGGUUCUCCAAAGAAUAAUAGAAUGUGGGGAUCUUUUAUACUUUUGGGGGGAACUUGGUACAACAAACAUACAGGGACAGGUUGCAAGCAGACUUGGGAAAGAGGCUGUAGCCAGAAGGAGGGGUAUCAGGGAGAGGUCUGCUACAAUGAAUAAAAAAAGAACAGGUCAAGCCAAGGACUUGGAUACCUGGGAGAGGAUUUUAAUACAACAGGAGAAGCUACUAAGACAAAAAAAGAGGUUCUCCACCUUAUUGACGUCCUUCUUAAAAUGGAAUCCCCAGAACUGCAUCAGAAGAGGUCUAAGUAAUUCAAGAAAUGAUAAGCAAGACGAUUGA
rnacentral:lncRNA from 1 species